rnacentral:rRNA from 1 species
GAUGAACGCUGGCGGCGUGCCUAAUACAUGCAAGCCGAGCGAACAGACGAGGAGCUUGCUCCUCUGACGUUAGCGGCGGACGGGUGAGUAACACGUGGAUAACCUACCUAUAAGACUGGGAUAACUUCGGGAAACCGGAGCUAAUACCGGAUAAUAUAUUGAACCGCAUGGUUCAAUAGUGAAAGACGGUUUUGCUGUCACUUAUAGAUGGAUCCGCGCCGCAUUAGCUAGUUGGUAAGGUAACGGCUUACCAAGGCAACGAUGCGUAGCCGACCUGAGAGGGUGAUCGGCCACGCUGGAACUGAGACACGGUCCAGACUCCUACGGGAGGCAGCAGUAGGGAAUCUUCCGCAAUGGGCGAAAGCCUGACGGGGCAACGCCGCGUGAGUGAUGAAGGUCUUCGGAUCGUAAAACUCUGUUAUUAGGGAAGAACAAAUGUGUAAGUAACUAUGCACGUCUUGACGGUACCUAAUCAGAAAGCCACGGCUAACUACGUG